GCUGGAAUUGACUGCCUAGAUUAUUGUAA
rnacentral:piRNA from 1 species